rnacentral:lncRNA from 1 species
CGCGCCCCGCCUGAUUUAUUUUUUUUGGAGAUGAGUUCUCGUGAUGUUCCCCAGUGCAGUGGUAAUUCACAGUUGCAAUUACAUUUCACUAUAGCUUCGAACUCCUGAGCUCGAGUAAUCCUCCUGCCUUAGCCUCCUGAGUAGAUGGGAUGAUAAGCAUGGCCUGGCUCUUCAUUUGACUUUUUUCCAACCACUUAGAAAAGUAAAAACCAGGCUAGGCACGGUGACUCAUAUCUGUAAUCCCAGCACUUUGGGAGGCCAAGGCAGGUGGAUCACAUGAGGUCAGCAGUUUGAGACCAGCCUGGCCAACAUGGUGAAACCCCCUCUCUACUAAAAAUACAAAAAUUAGCCAGGCCUGGUGGCAGGCGCCUAUAAUCCCAGCUAGUCAAGAGGCUGAGGCAGGAGAACCGCUUGAACCUGGGAGGUAGAGAUUGUAGCGAGCUGAGGUCACAUCAGUGCACUCCAGCCUUGGCGACAGAGGGAGACUCUGUCUCAACAACAAUAACACAAAAAACAAAAAAAAAAUAAAAAUAUAUUUCCAGUUUCUUCUGUAGUUGUUGGUCUUUUCAAUGAAGGCAACUAAAACCUUUUUAAUUAUUUAGUUUAUUUUUAAUGCUGUAAUGAAUUUGUAUUUUCCUAAAAUACUUUACAUAACAGUACCUUUUUUUAUUCAUAAUACCACGUGAUUUUUUUUUCUCUUGAUUAGCCUUGUCAGGAGCUUUUCUAUCUUUUAGAUCUACUUACCAUUAAAGUUUAAAAUAUAUUAACCAACUCAUUAAUUUCUGACUUUAAUUUCACUUAGUCCUGCCACUGACUUUUGUAGAUUUAUAUUAUUGUCCUUUUUCUAAUUCUACAGGAAAGCACUUGAUUUAUUUCAAUAGUUUGCUACUUAAUAAUUUUUUUUAAAUGCAUUUGAAUGCUAUUAAUUUACCUCUGAAUGCAGCUUUGGCCUCAUCUCAUCAAUUUCAUUUCAUAGCGGUUAAUACCUAACUAGCCUUUAAUUGCAAUUUUCUGGGGUUUUUUUUUUUUUUUUCCUUUUUUUCUAAUUGCAAUUUCAAGUUACCUUUCAACCCAAGAAUGACUGAGUUUUCUUCAGAUCUGAUGCUUCAGCACAAUAAUGUCUGGGGCCAUUUUCUGUCCCUGGGGCCCACAUGCCCAUGAACUUCCCAGGACUAGAACCCUCAGCUGUUACCUUCAGAACAGCUGCCUUGCCUUCUCCAGUUGCCACAAAGAUGACAGUUCGUGCUGCAUUCAGGACAGGUAGUGUGAGGGUCACACGCUGUGGCGGUGGCUUCGGGGAGUCACUGAUGGGAGCCACAAUCUUCUCCCGCUCCUUGGGGAGGAAGCCCAGGGAUGGAGGCAGAAGGACAAUGUCACUUCAGCUUCUUGGACACUUACACACACCAGGCCUGGUCCAGCCACUGUUCCAUCCCAUCCUACUAACAAUCCCAUGGUGGGUAGUUUAAGGUCCCUGUUUUAAGGGGCUCAACUGAGACCUGAAAGGAUUGAGCCCAGCAGGCAGGUAUGUUGGUGGAGGCUGACUUGAACCCUGGCUCUAGACACCCCACCCGGCAGGUGGCUCUCCCUCUGGAAGUCCCAGAUGUUAGGGACUGGGCUCAGGACUAGGGUGGAACCCCGCAUUGGUGUGCUCACCUGUAGGAGGGGGUGGUCUGGGAAGAGUGAGCAGGUGUGACCAUCGGGGCCCACCCCCAGGAUCAGCAGGUCGAAAACCGGGAUGGAGUCCCCUUGGAAUGCCUGGGCGUGGGGAGAAGACAGCCUUGAGAGGUUGUAGGUGGCAGGGGCAGGGGAGACUCAGAGGACACAGAAACAGUUGUCAGAUAAAAAAAUACAAGUAGCUGUGGCUGGGCAUGGUGGCUCACACCUGAAAUCCCAGCACUUUGGGAGGCCGAGGUAGGUGGAUCACGAGGUCAGGAGUUCAAGACCAGCCUGGCCAACAUGAUGAAACCCUGUCUCUACUAAAAAUACAAAAAUUAGCCAGGCGUGGUGGCAGGCACCUGUAGUCCUAGCUACUUGGGAGGCUGAGGUAGGAUAAUCACUUGAGCCCGGGAGGCAGAGGUUGCAGUGAGCUGAGAUUGCAUCACUGCACUCCAGCCUAGGUGACAGAGUGACAGAGUAAGACUCCAUCUCAAAAAAAAAAAAGGCCCAUGGUGGCUCACGCCUAUAAUCCCAGCACUUUGGAGGCCAAGGUGGGCGGAUCACGAGGUCAGGAGAUCGAGACCAUCCUGGCUAACAUGGUGAAACCCCGUCUCUACUAAAAAAAUACAAAAAAAUUAACCAGGCGUGGUGGCGGGCACCCGUAGUCCCAGCUACUCAGGAGGCUGAGGCAGGAGAAUGGUGUGAACCCGGGAGGCGGAGCUUGCAGUGAGCCAUGAUCACGCCACUGCACUCCAGCCUGGGCGACAGAGUGAGACUCCGUCUCAAAGAAAAAAAAAAAAAAAGAAAUACAAGUAGCUGUAACGCAGGAAACAGUGCUCAAUGUAGCCUGUGAUCAAAGCCAUAGCCAUACCCAUCAUAUUUCCCCAAGAUGUGAGGACCCAGGCCUGUUACCUGGGCAACAGAGGCCGAGUGGCCUUCAGGCUCCCCAGGGCAGGGCUGUGGCCUCGAAGAGGGGAUUCCUCAAAGGGAUCUGCCAGUGAUCCCUGGGGCAGUUCCUGCUGGUGACAAUCAGAAGGCCGCUCUGUUGCCCGGGGUGUGGCCGCUUCGUGGAUGUGACUCCCUUGCGGCCGCUCCUCGGGGCUCACCUGUCUCAGCUUCUUGGCGUAGUCCUCAGCCGCCUCCUCCACAGGCAGCUCGGGGUUAAUGGUGAUCACCUGGCUUUCUGGGAUCGGCAGUCUGGAGAGAAGAUGCGUCUGCAGCCAACAGAGGGACAAUGUCACCAACAGUAACGUGACCACCUGGAUCCUCCAGGGAGUUUAUGACAGUACCGUCAUAACACUCAUUUACAGAUGGGGAGACUGAGGCAUGGGGAGGCUGGUGCAUUUGUGCAAGGUCCUUCGGUUGGUGAGUGACACUUUGGUUGGUGAGUCACCUCUGGAAUGCUGGAAGCCAGGAUCCUGAGCCCUGGGUGACGCCGCCUGUCAGGGCAGAGGAGGUUCAAGGGCAAGAGGGAGCCCUGCUGCUCUUGGGGGGCUGGACGGGAGGGUGGCCCUCCUGGGUGAAUCGGGAUCAUGGUGGUUCCUGCGGGGGCCAGCAUUCCAACAGGAGUCUUUCAAUUCCGUUGUAUUUGGGGGGUUUCCUGGCCAUAGCCUGCACCUGUCUAGCCAGCCCAUUGUCCUGUUUCAAAGCCUCCAGGGUCCCACGGCCCUUGGGAUAAAACUCAGCCCCUCACCACCCUCCAUGGAGAAGGGUAACCUUCUCCAUCCCCACCCUCCCUCCUAAGGCUGCCUGGGAAACUCAUAUACAUCCCUCAGGCCACCUCCUCCGAGCAGCCACCCCCGCCUGCACCUGCCCCACUACAGGGAGUGGGGGCCAGGCUUGCCCAGGCCCAGCACCUGUGGCUAGCGCACAGUAGAUGCCCUGGCCUGUGAAUGGUGGAGUCGUUGGCAGCAGAUUUAACUCAAAAGCACUUGGAUCAAGGAGAAAGCUGCAGCCCUAUCCCACUGAGAGGCGCCCCAGGGGCCCUGGUCUGCUCUGAGAUGGCGUCCAUGUCUCGGUGCCUCGUGUUUGUGCAGAGUCUAGCUCAGUGAGCUGAGGCAAUGCUAAGGUGAGCCACGAAGUAAACGCAGGGGCUGACUGCCCUGAAUGCUGACCUGAGGAGUAUGAGCUCCACACUGAGGGCAUUGGGGAGCCAAGGAGGGUGUGUGAGCUGGGGAGGGACACAAUCGUAUCCAUAGUUGGAAAGACCACUCUGCUUUGUCCAAGGUCCCUGUGUUAAUCUAUGCAGCCUGCUAUCACAAAACACCAUAAACUCGAGGCUUAUAAACAACAGAAAAUGGCCAGGCAUGGUGGCUCACGGCUGUAAUCCCAGCACUUUGGGAGGCUGAGGUGGGACAAUCGGUUGAGCCCAGGAGUUUGAGACCAGCCUGGGCAGCAUAGUGAAACUUCGUAUUUACCAAAAAUAAAAAAUUAGCGGCCUGGCACGGUGGCUCAUGCCUGUAAUCCCAGCACUUUGGGAGGCCAAGGCAGGCGGAUCACCUGAGGUCAGGAGUUCGAGACCAGCCUGACCAACAUGGAGAAAUCCCACCUCUACUAAAAAUAUAAAAUUAGCUGGGCGUGGUGGUGAAUGCCUGUAAUCCCAGCUACUUGGGAGGCUGAGGCAGGAGAAUCACUUGAACCCAGGAGGCGGAGGUUGUGGUGAGCUGAGAUCGCGCCAUUGCACUCCAGCCUGGGCAACAAGGGUGAAACUCCAACUCAAAAAAAAAAAUUAGCUGGGCCUGGUGGUGCACACCUGUAGUCCCAGCUACUGAGGAGGCUGAGGCAGGGGGAUUGAUAGAGCCCGGGAGCUGAAGGCUGCAGUAAGCCACGAUCAUGCCUCUGCACUCCAGCCUGGGCAACACAACAAGAUCCUAUCUCAAAAAAAGAAAGAAAAGGAAAGGAAAAGAAAAGAAAGUAUAGGAAGGGAGGAAGGAAGGAAGGGAAGGAAGGGAGGGAAGGAGGGAAGGAAGGAAGGAAAUAGGGUCUUUGCAGAUGUAAUUAGUUAAGAACAAGUCAUAGUGGAUUAGUGUGGGCCCUAAAUCCAAUGACUGGCGUCCUUAUAUAAGAUGAGAAGACACACAGAAUCCAAGAAGGCCAUGUGCAGACAGAGACAGGAAUUGGAAUGGUGUGACCCCAAGCCAAGGAACGCCCAGAGCCCCCAGAAGAUGAGGAGAAAAUGAAGGAUCCUCCCAAAGAGCUUUCAGAUGGGGCGUGACCCCACCAACACCUUGAUUUCAGACUUCUGGCCUCCAGAACGGUGAGAGAAUAAAUUCCUGUGGCUUUAAGCCGCUCAGUUUGUGGUCAUUCGUUAUGUAGCCCUAGGGAACCGAUAUGAUUCCCCUCACAGAGAACCGGCAGAAGGAGCAAGUCCUGGCUUCAGGUUUGCUCCCAUCACACGGCUUUGGCCUUAGCUGAGCCCUCUUGCCACAGCUUGACCAUGGCCAGCUCCUGCACAUGCUCCAGCUCUCAGCUCAAAUGGCACCUUCUCAGGACCUCCCACCCCAUAGCCCUUGACGAAUGCUCACUCCCUAUUCCCUAGCACUCUGCAGCAUUUCACAAUUAUUUAUUUUGAGACAGAGUCUCAACUGUCGCCCAGGCUGGAGUGCAGUGGCAUGAUCUCAGCUCACUGCAACCUCUGCCUCCCACAUUCAAGCGAUUCUCGUGCUUCAGCCUCCCCUGUAGCCGGGAUUACAGGCACACGCCACCACACCCAGCUAAUUUUUGUAUUUUUAGUAGAGAUGGGGUCUUGCCAUGUUGGCUAGGCUGGUCUCCAACACCUGACCUCAGGUGAUCCACCAUCCUUGGCCUCCCAAAGUGCUGAGAUUACAGGUAUGAGCCACCACGCCCGGCCAAAAACCUGCUUUUUUUUUUUUUUAUCUUUAAGACAGUCUCACUCUGUCGCCCAGGGUGGAGUGUAAUGGCAUGAUCUCGGUUCACUGAUCAUGCCUCACUCCUGCCUCAGCCUCCCGAGUAGCUGGGAUUACAGGUGCGCACCACCACACCUGGCUAAUUUUUGCAUUUUUAGUAGAGACAGGUUUCACCAUGUUGGUCAGGUUGGUCUCAAACUCCUGACCUCGUGAUCCGCCCGCCUCAGCCUCCCAAAGUGCUGGGAUUACAAGCGUGAGCCACCGCACCCAGCCAAUUUUUGUAUUUUUUUUUAGUAGAGACAGAGUUUUGCCAUGUUGGCCAGGCUGGUCUCGAAAUCCUGACCUCAGGUGAUCUACUCACGUCGGCCUCCCAAAGUGCUGGGAUUACACGCGUGAGCCACCGCACCCGGCCAAAACUUUUUAAUGAUGCUCUUGGAAAACACACACAGGAAGGCGGAAGUUAAAUGUGUACCCAACUACGAAGUCAGAUGAGGCAGGAUCACACCCUGGCUGCCCCUCUGGUCACUAGAUGCCUUGGGCAGGUAAGCUCACCUCUUCUGGCCUCAGUUUCUCCAUCUGUGAAAUGAGUGUAACAUCUCAUAGGCUGUGGUACGGACUCAUGAAUUGAUGCAUAUAAAGCGUUCAGUAAGCCUUUUCUCUUAAUAAAAAACCCACAAAACCAUCAUCAGCUCAAGAUUCUAUGCAAAGAGAAGACGGCACACCCAGCAUGGGGUGUCCCUUGACGCUGCCAGACUCAAGUGACUUGAGGUUCCUGGCCUUUGAGCCCGCCCCUCCCACUCUUCCCUCGGCCAGGCCAAGGCUCCUCCAAGCCUCAGUUACCCUGUCUUUAAAAGAGCGCGCUCCUCUGAUUCUAUAGAAUCCUGAGGCUCAAAGCCAAAGAUGAACAGCCUGGAAGCAGAGCCAUCAGAGCGGCAAAGCUGCCCAGGGAUCCCCGAGAACUCGCUGGGGUUAGAGAUCAGGACCCUGAGAUUCAGGCUCUACACCUGAUUCCUCGUGCCCCCGUCCGCUACGGGGCUGAGUUAUGGGCAUCGUUUGACAUGGGCCACUCGGAUUCCCUUCCAGGCCCUUGCCCGUGCCGUUCCCUCUGCCUGGCCACCGGAUGAAGCAGGAAGACGGACUGCAAGUAGACCAUUUCUAGCCCUGCCUAGAUAAAGGCAGAGGGCGCAGUGAGGUCCUGCGGGACCCACUGUAGGCGGGGUUCAGGAGGCGGGCGAGCCCUGUCGGCUAGACCCCCAGCGGCCCCCGUAGUCGAGGUGCAGGCAGUGGGCGUGACCAUCUCGGCAUGACCCCCAGUGGCCCCCGUAGCCGAGGGCAACCGGUGGGCGCGGCCCUCUUGGCAUGACCCCCAGCGACCCACGUAGCCGAGGUGCAGGCAGUGGGCACGGCCCUCUUGGCAUGAUACCCAGUGGCCCCCGUAGCCGAGGUGCAGACAGUGGGCGCGGCCCUUUCGGCAUGGCCCCCGGCGGCCUCCGUAGCCGGGGUGUAGGCGGUGGCUGUGGCCCUCUCGGCGUGAUCCCCGGCGGCCCCCGUAGCUCUCACCCGGUAGAGGCCGUACGUGCUCUCGGCGUGAUCGAAGGGCACGAGGCGCUCGUCGCAGAAGCCCAGCGUCCAGCGCGCUAAGCUAGCUGGCCCGGCAGCAUGCUGCGCGCUGGGCCACCAGCUGCGCUAGCGCCGCACCCAGCUCCUGGGAACUCGAGAACACCGAGAUGAGGCCCGGGGCCGGCGCGGCCAUGGCGAGGGCGGCGGCGGGGAGGAGGAAGCGCUCCCUACGGCCGUCGCUAGUACGCCUGCGCAAGGGCCGGCCCUGCCGCUUGGUUUCGAGUACUUUGGGUGAUUGUCUUUGGCACAUGCGCAGUGAGGCAAGUGAAGCACCGCGAAGGUCGGGCAGUCGGUCCGGCCCUACCCAUUGAAUCUUUGCCUGCUGUGCCUGAGUCGAAGUGAGUUCGGGAAGCCAGUGCCCGAAUGCUCAACCUUGCUGUAUCAGGGAGGGCCGGAGAGGGGAGCUCAAGAAGAGGACGUCCUAUCGAGGUGGCAGGGAUUUUCUGAAGGAGGGCGUAUUUUGCUGGGUGUCAUGGCACGUGCGUGUAGUUCCGGCUACUUGGGAGGCUGAGGUGGGAGAAUCACUUGAGCCCAGGAGGAGAAGACUGCAGUAAACUAUGAUUGCAUUAUUGCAUUCCAGCCUGGACAACAGCAAGAUCUUGUCUCAAAAAAUAAAUAAAAAUUUAGAAAUAAAGUUUUAUUGGCACACAGCCAUGCUCAUUCAUUUGCACAUUGUCUAUGGCUGCUUUUGCACAAGAAUAGCAGUGUUGAAUAGCAAUCGAGGCUGUAUGGCCUGCAAAGCCGAAAAUAUUAACUAUCUGGUCCUUUAAGAAAAAGUUUGCCUGAGCCCAGGACUGCGAGACCAGCCUGGGCAACACAGUGAGACCCUGAUAUAUUUUGGCUGUGUCCCCACCCAAAUCUCAUCUUGAAUUGUAGCUCCCAUACUUCCCACGUGUUGUGGGAGGGACCCGGUGGGAGGUAGUUGAAUCAUGGGGGUGGGUCUUUCCCGUGCUGUUCUCAUGAUAGUGAAGGGGUCUCACGAGAUUUGAUGGCUUUAUUUGGUGGUUUUUAAAGGGGAGUUCCCUUGCACACACUCUCUUGCCCUCCACCAUUAAAAAGUCCCUUUGCUUUUCCUUCGUCUUCUGCCAUGAUGGUGAGGCCAUCCCAGCCAUGUGGAACUGUGAGUUCCAUUAAACCUCUUUCCUUUAUAAAUUACCCAGUCUCGGAUAUGUCUUUAUUAGCAGCAUGAGAAUGGACUAAUACAGACCCCAUCUCUACAAAAAAUCAAAAAAAUUAGUCAGGCAUGGUGGUGCCUGCCUGUAGUCCUAGCUACUCCAGAGGCUGAGGUGGGAGGAUCAUUUGAACCCAGGAGGCUGAGGCUGCAGUGAGCUAUGAUAGUGCCACUGCAUGCCAGCCUGGGCAACAGAGUAAGACCCUGUCUCAAACAAACAAACAAACAAAAAAAACAAAAGAAAAAGAAAAGAUACACCGAGGCCGGGUGCAGUGGCUCAUGUGUGUAAUCCCAACACUUUGGG